GACGUAGGGCGCGAGCGUUGUCCGGAUUUAUUGGGCGUAAAGAGCUCGUAGGCGGUUUGUCGCGUCUGCCGUGAAAGUCCGGGGCUCAACUCCGGAUCUGCGGUGGGUACGGGCAGACUAGAGUGAUGUAGGGGAGACUGGAAUUCCUGGUGUAGCGGUGAAAUGCGCAGAUAUCAGGAGGAACACCGAUGGCGAAGGCAGGUCUCUGGGCAUGUCCUGACGCUGAGGAGCGAAAGUGUGGGGAGCGAACAGG
rnacentral:rRNA from 1 species